UCAGUUUCUUUUUAGGUUAUGCAGCUCAUAAAUAGAGCAGUUUUAAGCUCUGUUUUUUUAUUAAUUGAAAUUAAAACUUUAUUUUUUGAAUCAAUCAAUCUACUCAGACGCUUGAAAUGGUGGUUUCUCUCAUUGAUUGACACUAUUUUCGUGUUAUCUUGAUGGUGGAUUAUAAGUUGCAAAUAAACAUUUUUGAGGAAAAAAUAUGUUUUACCGCAUUUAGAGAGUUAUUUGCCACUAAUGGUCCUCCAUCAAGCGUGAAAAUAGUGUCAAUUGGUGAUUGGAUCUCCAUGUGUUUGAGUUGGAUAAUGGAACGAGUGAUUGAUUGGUCCUUUACCGAUUUUUGAGGUUUUUGAGUAGGUGAACUUAUUCUUUUGUGUUUUUCUCAAAACCCUAGAUUGAUUUACCCCUUGCAGUUAAAUCUUAAUUUUUUGUUCUGGUCAUUUUCUAUUUCCUUAACCUUGGGUUUUAAGUGGGUUCAUGCAUACCAAACUCAUAAAUUUCACGGUUUAGAAGAGCAAUUUGGAGCCUCCCUCAUGCAAUCUUCUUCCUGCGGCAAAAGCUUCUGAUGGAGGCACACAGUAACAAUGGAGUUCAUCACAAAAAUUCAAGUUGUUAACAGAUGUACACCUUGUUCUCCCUCGAGCUUGACGUUUAGAACAAAUUUCAUAGAUCAUCACAAACGCCAUUAUCGGAACAACAUGUUCAUACAAGCUCUGCUGAUGAGACGAUGUAUGGGCUACGUUUGCGUACAUGUUGUUCCUAUAAUGGCGUUUGUGAUGAUUUAUGAAAUUUGUUCUAAACGUCAAGCUUCGAGGCAGAAGAAGGAAUACAUCCGUUAACCAAUUGAAUUGUUGUGAUGAACUCCAUCACUGUGUGCCUUCAUCAGAAGCAUUUUCUGCAAGAAGAGGAUUGUAAGAGCUGAAGCACCGAAUUGCUCUUCUAGACUGUGAAAUUUAUCAGUUUGAAAACUUUACCUUGAGAAACAUUGCUUUCUGAAUGAAGAAGAGUUUAAGGCAUUGGUCUAAAGCGAUUGUGAAAUUUUGUUAAUUGCGAUCUACAUUGGAUCUCACUCGAAUCGCCCCAUCUAUCCUUGGGAGGAUGAGUUUGGUUUCAAAUCUCAGAUCGAACAGGAAGAGCAUGCCAUGCUAAUGUACCUCGGAUGAUCUGCAUCUCAGGGUCAAUCGAUGAGCACAUUAAACUACGAUGACUUCAUCAAGGAUUUCUGAUUUUUAGCCAUUUUGAUUGGGUAUGUUGAUAUAAAUAACAAGUAAAUAACUUUCUGCUAUGUGAAGCAUAUAACUAGAGUUGCUGUGGUGCUCAUUUUUAAUUUUUAGUUUUCACAUUUCUACUUCUUUUGUUAUAUCAUAUUGAUGAUUUCUUCAGUCUUGUAAUCAUUAUUUCUAUCCAUUUCCUAAAGUUUUGAUUUUAUUUUUAUUUUUCAGAUCAUUUAUGAUAUACCAAUUGAUUAACAAGUUCAGUUGCAGGAAAAGGAAAGUCUUCUAAAGCUUUAUGAUAGGAUCUUUAGUUACUGAUUACUUUCAUGUUUUCUGAAAUUGACUUGUUAAUUACCUGUUAUGUUGCAUAAGGUAGCGUCCUCUUAAGGGGAAGUUUUAUGUGCUAAAUUGUACUAGUACUAGUUUAUUUCUUUGUUCCUGAAGAAAGGUUAUUGUUGGGCUUCCUUUUGUUAUUAAAUAUAUGUAGAAGUUCGGAUACUGACGUAUGGUUAGCUAUCAGAACGGAAUGAACUUGACCUACUGUACAAUUAUAAAGUUUCUAUAGACAUUUGGAGAAGACUUCAUUGUAACUUUAGAUCAUAGUUAUGUUUGAUCUAAUUAUAACAAUAAGAUGUGCAGAUGAAAAUGAGAGACAUAAACAUUGAUGCAUCGGAACCUAAAUAUCAGAAUCACAUUGAUAUUGCCACCACCCCCACAAACCCUCUCCGGGGAACCUGGAAUUUGGCAUCGGCACCUAUCCCCUGACAAUAUCUACUCAAACCUUAAUAUUAGACUAUUUUAGAUGAAGUUAGGUCCCUAACUUCCUUAGAAACUUGCUGAACUGUUUUGCUUUUAUUGGAAAGCCUAGAACUACCCUGCCCUUUAUUUAUUUUCUCUGGUGAUUAUGUAUUAUAUUAAGCAUUGUUUAUCUGAAUUAUGGCAUUAAUGAGCAUUACUCUUAAAGACGAUACAGGUAAUUUCACCUUUGUGCUUACUACAUGUAUUUUCUGUAGCUUCUCGGACACGUUGGAGAUUGAAAUGCCAUUGUUUCCCUGUUGGGUUGGGUAUAUCGUGCUGACAAUUCUUUUGUCUGAUACCUUUACAUCUAUU